rnacentral:rRNA from 1 species
GACGAACGCUAGCUACAGGCUUAACACAUGCAAGUCGAGGGGCAGCAUGAACUUAGCUUGCUAAGUUUGAUGGCGACCGGCGCACGGGUGAGUAACACGUAUCCAACCUGCCGAUGACUCGGGGAUAGCCUUUCGAAAGAAAGAUUAAUACCCGAUGGCAUAGUUCUUCCGCAUGGUAGAACUAUUAAAGAAUUUCGGUCAUCGAUGGGGAUGCGUUCCAUUAGAUAGUUGGUGAGGUAACGGCUCACCAAGUCCACGAUGGAUAGGGGUUCUGAGAGGAAGGUCCCCCACACUGGUACUGAGACACGGACCAG